rnacentral:rRNA from 1 species
GGAGGGCGCAAGCGUUGUUCGGAAUUACUGGGCGUAAAGCGCGUGUAGGCGGUUUGGAAAGCCGGAUGUGAAAUCCCCGGGCUCAACCCGGGAACUGCAUUCGAAACUUCUAGGCUAGAGUCCCGGAGGGGAAGGCAGAGUUCCCAGUGUAGGGGUGAAAUCCGUAGAUAUUGGGAGGAAUACCAGUGGCGAAGGCGGCCUUCUGGACGGUGACUGACGCUGAGACGCGAAAGCGUGGGGAGCAAACAGGAUUAGAUACCCUGGUAGUCCACGCCGUAAACGGUGCGUACUAGGUGUCGGGGGUAUUCACCCCUCCCGGUGCCCGGAGGUAACCCUUUUAAGUACGCGCCUGGGGAGUACGGCCGCAAGGCUA